rnacentral:rRNA from 1 species
AUGGUUACUGCUUUGCGCCUGAUCACGCUUAUUCUGCUGCUGCUUGCUAAUGCUCGGGCGUCGGUGGUAGCCCUGGCCAACGUCGACGACGACAACGAUGAGCAGCUGCUGGAGAGGUUCAAGGGGGCAGUACGGAACCGCGCGGAGCUCAGGGGUUGGAGCCGCGGCGAUGGCGCGUGCAGGUUCCCCGGUGCGGCGUGCACCACGGGAGGGAGGAGCCUCGUGUCGCUGUCCCUCGCGGGGGUGCCACUUGAUGUCGAUUUCCGUGCCGUCGCCGCCACAUUGCUGCGGCUGGGUGAUAUUGAGGUCGUCAGUUUGCGGGGUGUCAACGUCAGCGGCUCGCUAGCGAGCGGCGGUGACGGAGGGUGGAGGUGUGGCCAGAAGCUGGCUCGGCUGGACCUGUCCGGGAACAGCAUGCUGCGUGGAUCCAUCACGGACGCCCGCGUGCUCGCCGGCUUGUGCGACGGGCUGAGGGAGCUGAACCUUUCUGGUAACGCACUCGUUGGCCGUGGCCGCGGGCAAGGAGACGGCGGGGACAUUUCUACCCGCCUAGACGUCCUUGACAUGUCGGGCAACAAUAUCACCGGCGACGGUGACCUCAGCUGGAUGGGCGGUGUCCCCCGGCUGAUCCUCGCCUGGAACAAAAUCUCCGGGCCACUCCCGGUCCCGGUAUUCCCCAAUUGCUCGAGAAUGGAGUCACUUGAUCUGUCUGGAAAUUUAAUCUCCGGUGCGGUGCUGCCUGGGGUCCUGUCGGGCUGCACUGCUCUUACUUCACUCAACCUCUUCAACAACCAUCUGGAGGGUGUUUUCCCGCCCGACAUCGCGUUCCCGGCGUCGCUCUCCUACCUCAACCUGCCGUCGAACGCGUCGCCUUCCAGCAGCUCGCGCCCGCGCCUGGCCGUGGCCGCCCUCCGCUGCUGCCGCCUGCGCGUGCACGCACGCACCGGCUCCCCCCUGCUCGCUUGCGGCCACGGGGACGGCCACUGCGAGGACGAAGAAGACGAGGCCCUCCCCGACCCGGCCAUGCGCGCGCGAGCCCCUCCCCGGCUACGCGUGCUCCGCUCCAGCCACGCGAGCCCCCCGCCACAGCCGCGCCAGCGCGAGCCCCCGCCUCGGCCAUGCGCCGUGGAGUGCGCGGGCGGGGGCACCGACGCGCAUGUCGACGCGGUGAGGAUCCUGGCCACCAUGGCGCCGGAGAUGGUGCCCUACCUGACCCGGGACGACACGGAGAAGCAUGGACGGGUCAAGAUGGCCGUGGAGGCCAUGGCUGCCGUCUUGUCUGCGGGCGGAGUCAGCAAAGAUGCCAAGAAACCGAUCUGGUGA